GUUCUUAUGCUUGUUAUCAAUAAAAGAAAUUUCCAGAUUUCCCUGAAUCAGGCAGGGACUCUGUUUUCUUUCAUUCCUUCCAGUGCCCAGGUGAACUCACAUAGAUUCAGAAAGCAGGGAUUCAGGAACAAGGAAACAAGCCCUCCACUGCUGGGAGAGGCGUGGGGAAAACUGAAACAGGGGAACUCUCGGAAGAAAUGACAACCUGUUCCUCCUGCCUUUUGGGAUCUUGCGAUGUGGGCCCGGAUUUGCUUUAUAUCAUUUUCUUGUUGUUCCAUGUCACGUGGAAGAAUGCCUUGGAGGAGGCUGUCUGCAAACACUGGCAGUAUUCUUAGAGGAAGCUUGGGUUUGGGGCCUAGACACAUCCAGUCUCCAUGAAACGAUGAGAACAGCUGUCCUGAAAUGACAGAGCAAGAAACCUGCGCAGCAACAGCCUCAGAGAGGCCCCUUAAUAUACCUUCUCUACUAUGAAAAAUCAGGUAAAUUGCAAGCAUGGCAUGAAAACAUAUUUGCUUUGCUCAAAUCUUAUACGAUGUAUUUGGAACAAAGGCCGCCUGAGGGAAAGGCAUGCUGGUUCCACAUCUCAACUCUGCUCCUUGCCUGCUUUCUGUUCAGAAUUGGAAGGAGAAUGAUGGGAAGCUUGGGGAAGGUGGACAAAGUGAGCUGGAUGCAGCUUCACUCUGUGCACACAUUACCUUUUAAUAAUUUGAUAAUGAAAAGAAGAACUGGAGUCAGGAAAGAUGGGCUGCAGAGAUGGGCUGUAGGCGGGUAGCAAGGAUGACAGGAAACCUUGGGAGUUUCGGGAUCUAAAGUUGUGGAUUUACAACCAAAUAUUUUUUCCUUUCCUUAACAUGACUCUAGCUCUGUGCUUUGGACUUACCUGGUAGCCCACAGCUGCUGCAAAUUGAUUUAUUUUCUUAUGAUCCUUGAAGCCGCCACUAUAACAUCAGACACACUGCUUCUCAGGCUGUUUUCUUAAGACACGUUAAGGUUUUUGUUUUGUUUUGUUUUUUUCGUUUAGUUUCUCUUAUUCUUUCUACCAUCUGGUAUAUUAGGGUGCAAAGGAUGGCUUAUAACUACUCUUUUUCCAAAUAGAGAUUGUUUUGAGAUGUAUGUGCUUGGGGAAGUAUUGGGGGAAGAUGCAUCAUGUGAUUACCAUAAAAUAUUCCAAGACAACUGUUAUACCGGACCGUGAAGCCUAUUGCUUUCUCUUAAAAAUACCUUCAUCAAUUCCCUUUUUUGGUUACUAUUUCUUUUUUUUUUGAGAGGAAGUCUCACUCUUGUCACCCAGGCUGGAGUGCAAUAGCGCCAUCUCGGCUCACUGCAAACUCCGCCUCCUGGGUUCAAGCGAUUCUCCUGCCUCAGCCUCCUGAGUAGCUGGGAUUACAGGUGCCUGCCACCAUGCCAGCUAAUUUUUGUAUUUUUAGUAGAGAUGGGGUUUCACCAUAUUGGUCAGGCUGGUCUCGAACUUCUGACCUCAGGUUAUCCACCCGCCUUGGCCUCCCAAAGUUGGUUACUAUUUCUCAUCCUUUUAAGACAAGGUGAGUUGGGCCAGAAAUGAAGAGAAAUCUGCCCUGGCCUAAGGGGUCUAACUCCCUGCUCCAUUAGGUAACCGGGCAGCCAUCCUCAGAGCUGAGCCAAGGCAUGGAAACGUCUCCAAGCAGUGGAGGUGCACCCUAGGGAGGUCACUCUGUGCUGCUUGGUCCAGGAAGCUGUCUGCUUCCUCCCUUGGAAGGAAGAGCAGAGCUACCGUGAAGGAAGGAGCAAUGCAGAGGACAGGACUGAGGUGUGGACAGCCCAGCCCAGUGGGAGGAGCAUAGGGUUUGGAGCCGGGCAGACCUGGUUUCAGUUCCCUUUCCACCACUUUCUAACCCUCGACCGAACCAUUUCAUGCUUUUGAAUCUUGAGCAUUUCAGGUAUUCAAGGAGUCGAGUGCUAACCACCUCAUAGGAGUGUUGUGAGGCUGGAGAUGGAUGAGGCCACGUGUGUACAACCUCCUCUAUGCCAGCAUAGGGUAGAUGCUCAUGUGGUAUCUAUUGUUGCCAUUACUUUUUGUCUGGCAACAGUAAUGUUGGAAUCUGGUUAAGCAGAGUGGUAGGAGCCUGUCUGGAAGGGGUCAUUGUUUUUGUAUGAAAUCUCUCCCUCCUGCUCUUUCCCCCUUUGGGGGAUGUUUCCUGUGGACUUGCCAGCUCCAUCUGCAAUUCUGAAUUCAAGACUCCAUUUGUGGGGGCUUCCAGAGCCUUCUGGAAGGCUCAACUUGUCCAGUUUACUAACUCUGAGAAUGCUUACCUGCACGUUAUAGCUAAAUUGCUCAUGAGAGCAAUUUGUAACAUCACCCUGAGGGAGAGGCCACAUCAAUAAAAACACGGGAUAGAAUGGGGUUGCCUGGAAGGGGGUGGAAAUCAUGUAAACUCACAUGAACAGCAGCUGUGUUUACCUCUCUUGGACUUGGGGGUUUGAGCAUCACCUAAAAUCUGGAGUCCCAUGGCUCAGGAAGGCAUCUCAGUGUAUGCUCUGAACCAUGGGGUGUUACUCCCGCUUUUCAGCCUGGGUUUGAUAGUAGCCCUAGAAAUCCAGUCACCCAUAAUUUGCAUUGCCAACAGCACAUUUCCAAUUAAAAGCACAAGUUUGUGGGUAUGAAUCAUGUACUUUGUAUAAAUUCUGCUAUGUGACGAUUUAUUUUCUUGACACCAAAUAAAUUACACACAGUGAACUUGGCCUACUUUUACACCUCCUCCUCAAUGGAUUCUGGGUGAGCAUAAAGGGAAUUGAUUAGAAUGACAACUAAUUUACUGGGUGAUGAGGACCCCAUAAUUUGGACCCCGUAGGCAAAUUAUUUUAAAGAAGUGAGGAGUCAAAAUAGCUUUUAUGAAUCAAAGGGUUUUAUAAUUCCUAAGGGUCCUUCCAGUUAUAAAAACUCACCUACCACGUGCAAUACAAAGGUUAACCUCCCCAACGGGAACAUCAAAGCCCCAAGUCAGCCCACACUUGAAAUCUUGAAAGAGGCACUCAUUACACACAGCCCUAGUGACCUACUUGCCAGGACCGGCUUCUCUUCCCUGUGCACUGAGGAAGUACAAGGAAGGAAGAAUUUCAAAGAAAAGUCUGAUUUUGAAACCUACUUAAUUGUAAUAAACUGAUGUCUUACUGGCCUGUUUUUAAAGCUAGCUUUAAUACCAAGUGUCCCUUUAAAAAGAAGGCAUUUUACAAGCCGGGUGGCAUAUAGCAUGCUCCUGGGUCCUGAUGCUAUGGACUGACUACGGUUGACUUUCCUUCCCCUGUUACCUGGAACAAAGACCAUUAGAAUUGAGGUCACACAAUCAAAAAAGCUAGAAGUAACCAUGAAGCCCCUUCCAAUCCUUACCUGUGCAAAUGAAGAAACUGAGGCCCAGGACCAGAGAGAGCAUUUUUGUUUUCCAGCACACACAGCAUCCUGGAGAGGGUUACAACCACAUGGGGAGCACCAGGGAUACUUGAAGAUAUUUUGACCAGGGCUCCUUUUCCACCUACGGUGCCUUUGCUGCUCAAACUAGCAAGUCUGAGGCCCAGCAUCUUGGCAUUAUUUAGAAACUUCUCACAAAUGCAGAGUGAGAAGUUCAGAGUCCUCAGGUUCUGGCCCAGUCCAGAAUCAGAGUCUGCAUUUGGCCUCAUUGGCCACUUCCAUCAUACCAGAAAAGAGACAAAAAACAGUGAAGCCACCUCCUAAUUUGAAUCCAGUUUAAUUCCGUGAAAUUAAUUGUGUGUCUUUAUCUCUACACAAAUUAACCCUCCCCUUCCCCCACCAUACACGUCCGUUCAUACAGCCAUACCUCGGAGAUGCUGCAUGUUUGGUUCUAGACCACUGCAGCAAAAUGAAUAUUGCAACGAUGUUGUAGUCU
rnacentral:lncRNA from 1 species